rnacentral:rRNA from 1 species
GGACGACGGCCUUUCGGGUUGUAAACCUCUUUUAGUAGGGAAGAAGCGAAAGUGACGGUACCUGCAGAAAAAGCACCGGCUAACUACGUGCCAGCAGCCGCGGUAAUACGUAGGGUGCAAGCGUUGUCCGGAAUUAUUGGGCGUAAAGAGCUCGUAGGCGGUUUGUCGCGUCUGCUGUGAAAACUGGAGGCUCAACCUCCAGCCUGCAGUGGGUACGGGCAAACUAGAGUGCGGUAGGGGAGAUUGGAAUUCCUGGUGUAGCGGUGGAAUGCGCAGAUAUCAGGAGGAACACCGAUGGCGAAGGCAGAUCUCUGGGCCGUAACUGACGCUGAGGAGCGAAAGCGUGGGGAGCGAACAGGAUUAGAUACCCUGGUAGUCCACGCCGUAAACGUUGGGAACUAGAUGUGGGGGCCAUUCCACGGCUUCCGUGUCGCAGCUAACGCAUUAAGUUCCCCGCCUGGGGAGUACGGCCGCAAGGCUAAAACUCAAAGGAAUUGACGGGGGCCCGCACAAGCGGCGGAGCAUGCGGAUUAAUUCGAUGCAACGCGAAGAACCUUACCAAGGCUUGACAUAUACGAGAACGCUGCAGAAAUGUAGAACUCU